GCUUACGGCCAAACUGCCCGGUCUUGUCUGAUCUUGGAAGCUAAACAGGGUCGGUCCUGGUUAGUACUUGGAUGGGAGACUCCUGGGAAUACCAGGUGCUGUAAGAU
rnacentral:rRNA from 1 species